rnacentral:tRNA from 1 species
GUCCCCAUCGUCUAGAGGCCUAGGACAUCGCCCUUUCACGGCGGCAACGGGGGUUCGAAUCCCCCUGGGGACGCCA